rnacentral:rRNA from 1 species
CGCGCAGGCGGAUUAUCAAGUCAGAUGUGAAAUCUCAGGGCUUAACCCUGAAACUGCGUCUGAAACUGGCAAUCUAGAAUCUCAUAGGGGGUAGGGGAAUUUCACGUGUAGGGGUAAAAUCCGUAGAGAUGUGAAGGAACACCGGAGGCGAAGGCGCCUGCCUGGAUGAGUAUUGACGCUGAGGCGCGAAAGCGUGGGGAGCAAACA